GAUGAAGAACGUAGCGAAAUGCGAUACGUAAUGUGAAUUGCAGAAUUCAGUGAAUCAUCGAAUCUUUGAACGCACAUUGCGCCUGCCAGCACUCUGGCAGGCAUGCCUGUUCGAGCGUCAUUUCAACCAUCAAGCCCUAGGCUUGCGUUGGAGCCCUGCGGCUGCCGCAGGCCCCUAAAAGCAGUGGCGGGCUCGCUAUCACACCGAGUGCAGUAGAUUACUCUUCGCUCAGGGCGUGUGGCGGGUUCCAGCCGUGAAACCCCCUACUUCUCAAGGUUGACCUCGGAUCAGGUAGGAAUACCCGCUGAACUUAAGCAUACAAUAAGCGGAGGA
rnacentral:misc_RNA from 1 species